UUUUCUCCCCCCCUCGCGCGAGCGCCGCCGCCCCUUCCCUCCCCAUCCCCGCUGCCACGCCCCAGCCCCCUAGCUCGUCUUCCACCUCGCGCGAGCGCCUCCACCGCAGGUUGCUCUCUCCUUCGAUUCUCUCGCUCCCGACGGUUUCUCCUCCCAUCACCCCACGAACGGAUUCCGCCCUAGCUCCCCUUUGAUCUUCUUAAUCUGCCCCAAUUCGUAACUGAGGCAAAAAUCAAGGUAGGGCGGCCGCCCUACCUUGCCCUGCUGGGUCCUCCGCCGGUGCCGGCAGUCAUGAAACCUGAAGAUGUUUUCAAUAAAUUGACCAGGAAACUGCAAGAUCCUGCGGAUUUUGUAGAUUUUGAUCUGCCACCUGCGUUGAAAGAAUGGAAGUUAGGCUACUAUAUACCAAUUAAGCGAAAUGUUUAUCUUACUAAGAAACGGGUUGAAGAUGACGGCAUUUUCUGUUCUUGCCCUUUUAUUUCUGGAUCAUCAGUCGCUUGUGGAAAAGAUUGCCAAUGCGGGAUGCUGUUCUCUUGUUGUUCAUCAAACUGCAAAUGUGAGAAUAGGUGUGCCAAUAAAUCAUUCCAGCUCAGGCCUCUGAAAAAAACCAAAUUGAUCAAGACAGAGAAAUGUGGCUUUGGAUUGGUAGCUGAUGAUGGAAUACAGAAAGGAGAGUUUAUUAUAGAAUAUGUAGGAGAAGUUAUUGAUGACAGAACUUGUGAGGAAAGACUAUGGAAAAUGAAGAGACAGCGCUACACUAAUUUUUACCUUUGUGAGGUCAGUAGCAACAUGGUCAUUGAUGCAACAAACAAGGGAAACAAGUCAAGGUUUAUCAAUCAUAGUUGUCAACCUAACACAGAGAUGCAGAAAUGGACUGUAGAUGGAGAGACCAGAGUAGGAAUUUUUGCUCUUCGUGACAUAAAGAAAGGAGAGGAGCUAACCUAUGACUAUAAAUUUGUCCAGUUUGGAGCAGAUCAAGAUUGCCACUGUGGAUCUUCAAAAUGCAGAAAAAUGGUUGGCACCUCUAAGUCGGUCAACUCAAUUAUUCUUCACAAUGGCAACUCAGGAAGCUCACAAGAUCAGCAUAUUGUGAAAAAAAGAAAGAUAACCUCGGAUAAUUGUAUUGGGGAGAUUAUCCGUUUGUGGGAUCGACGGGACAAAAUGUAUGCCUUGACGACCUCAAAUUUGAUCAUGGAGUUAGAUGUCCUUUAUUUGUUGUCCUCAGUUUGUGAUCCAUUUUACCCCUUGUCUCUCACAGCAUUGUUCCUUUCAGUUACUGUUUGAUGAAGAAACUACUGAAAAAUUUGAUUUGGGAGAGGAAGAUUGGAACUUCCUACCGCGUCCAGAAGAUCCAGAUGAAGACUGAUAAUUGAAGAAUAUAUCCAUCUGCAAAAGGAUAUUGACAAGAGCUAUCAUCAGAUACACAUUCUGGGUGACCCUGGACUUCGUUUAUGUAGCAGGGAAGGGUUAUUUGUUUCUUCUGUCCACAUGUGCAUAUGUGGCCUUUCUUUCUAAGCGUGUGGGGCUUUGAAGAGGGGUUUCUCUGUUUUCUUCCAUGGAUGGCAUAUAGUUCUUCUAUUAGGAGUUUUUCCCUGCACGUUGCAGUUUAUGUUUCAUUUUUUUACUGGGUUUUGUUUUGUUUCCGCAGGGAGGGCAUCUGCUAUUUGGAUGAGAUGUAUUUCUAUGGAAAUCUUUGUACUAUCUAGUUUAGCCCAAGUCAACCCUACAAAAAAAUUGGCUAGCCAUUUUGGACAAGGUUAUACUUGUCUGUAUUUUUGCCAGUGUUCAAAACAAAAGUGAACUAGAGUGGGUGAAGGGUUUGGUCCUGACCAAAAAAAUAGAUAGGGUUAUUUUUACCCAUGGUUCAAAUUUGAACUAAACAGGAGACAGAAAUUCCCACGUCCAAACAUUUGCUAGCAUAUAUUCUUAGUUAGCAAUUGGCAAUCUUGUCUGAUGGAUGUUCUCUCUCUGCAGGAUCCUUAUGUUUCUGUGUACAAACAGAUACAUCCAAUUUAUUCCCCAUCUCAACAGAACCUGUCACUCCAUUGUAAUUUUUUUUUCUCAGAAAACAUAAUAAAGUGUUGAAGUCAGUCAAUUUGAAUAUGAAAUUAUCUUAGCAGCUUGCAAAUGGAGUAUAAAUCAUCAAUGGGAAGUACUUGGUGCAACUUUCCAUCCGGUGAAUCGGAGUUUUUUCAGUGUCAUCCAGCCUCGUAGAAAUCAGAGUUCUGCCCUCACAUUAGAUUAUUUUUUAUCUGUUCCCCAGACCUUGUAAAAUUGUGUUCCACUCUUGAAUCACGUUGAUUUCCUGUUUCCUGUAGUCUCGGCCUUCAAAAAUCAGUUUUCUUCUACUGUUUUCUGUUCAUCAAACUGGGCAUAAUUUUAUCCUAUUUUCUGGGUACAAA